rnacentral:rRNA from 1 species
AGGCACCUACGGGGGGCAGCAGUGAGGAAUAUUGGUCAAUGGCCGAGAGGCUGAACCAGCCAAGUCGCGUGAGGGAAGACGGUCCUAUGGAUUGUAAACCUCUUUUGUCGGGGAGCAAAGAGAUCACGUGUGGUCAAAAGCGAGAGUACCCGAAGAAAAAGCAUCGGCUAACUCCGUGCCAGCAGCCGCGGUAAUACGGAGGAUGCGAGCGUUAUCCGGAUUUAUUGGGUUUAAAGGGUGCGUAGGCGGGACGGUAAGUCCGCGGUAAAAAUGCGGAGCUCAACUCCGUCGAGCCGUUGAAACUG